GAUGAACGCUGGCGGCGUGCCUAAUACAUGCAAGUCGAGCGAACGGACGAGAAGCUUGCUUCUCUGAUGUUAGCGGCGGACGGGUGAGUAACACGUGGAUAACCUACCUAUAAGACUGGGAUAACUUCGGGAAACCGGAGCUAAUACCGGAUGAUAUUUUGAACCGCAUGGUUCAAAAGUGAAAGACGCUCUUGCUGUCACUUAUAGAUGGAUCCGCGCUGCAUUAGCUAGUUGGUAAGGUAACGGCUUACCAAGGCAACGAUGCAUAGCCGACCUGAGAGGGUGAUCGGCCACACUGGAACUGAGACACGGUCCAGACUCCUACGGGAGGCAGCAGUAGGGAAUCUUCCGCAAUGGGCGAAAGCCUGACGGAGCAACGCCGCGUGAGUGAUGAAGGUCUUCGGAUCGUAAAACUCUGUUAUUAGGGAAGAACAUAUGUGUAAGUAACUGUGCACAUCUUGACGGUACCUAAUCAGAAAGCCACGGCUAACUACGUG
rnacentral:rRNA from 1 species